UUCUCUCAUAUUCCCGACCUCUUGAAACAGGAAGUUGCACACUCGAAUGAAGUGUAUUAUGAUGUUGAUGGUAUUUGGUAGUGGGAAGUAAAAGUAGUAUGCACUUCCCAUCCACUUACCUGUUCCUUUUCUACAUUAUUGUGUUUUCCGGUCAAGUUUGAUUUGUAUUUACACAUACAUACAUAAUUCAUGAACACCACUAGCAAAUCUCUG
ensembl:ncRNA C06E4.18 ncRNA